UGCUAUAGCAACUCGCCUGGAAGAAAUAGGACUACAAUCCCACAAUGGCUGCAUGAAGAAUCCCAGCCGGAAUACCCACCCCCACACUUCCUCGCCCUUUGAAGAAGCAAACCAAGAUGGAUAACAGGUCACACCUUUUUUCCCAGUGAGAUUGAUAAUUACAUCUUGUCACCAGUGUCAUCCAAGAUCUAAAGCGCAUGGUCCCUUCACCGCAACUCAAGUCCGUGGUAGAACCGUAUACCCACAGGCACUCGAGAGCAUCCUUCCCGCGGCACUUAGCCAAAGACGGAUGUCCACUUCUCCGUAUUCA
ensembl:lncRNA